rnacentral:rRNA from 1 species
UACAGAGGGGGCAAGCGUUAUUCGGAAUUAUUGGGCGUAAAGGGCGCGUAGGCGGCCUGGCAAGUGGAAGGUGAAAUCCCUCGGCUUAACCGAGGAACUGCCCUCCAAACUGCUUGGCUUGAGUCCGGGAGAGGUGAGUGGAAUUCCGAGUGUAGAGGUGAAAUUCGUAGAUAUUCGUAAGAACACCAGUGGCGAAGGCGGCUCACUGGACCGGCAUUGACGCUGAGGUGCGAAAGCGUGGGGAGCAAACAGG